AACGUAGGAGGCGAGCGUUAUCCGGAUUUACUGGGCGUAAAGGGCAAGUAGGCGGUGGCCAAAGUUGGGCGUGACAUCUCCCGGCUCAACUGGGAGGGGUCGUUCAAAACUAGGUCACUAGAGGGCAGGAGAGGGAAGCGGAAUUCCUAGUGUAGCGGUGGAAUGCUCAGAUAUUAGGAAGAACACCAGUGGCGAAGGCGGCUUCCUGGCCUGUACCUGACGCUGAGAGGCGAAAGCUAGGGUAGCAAACGGGCUUAGAUACCCCGGUAGUCCCUGAGCGGGCU
rnacentral:rRNA from 1 species